AUGGAGAGGAAAGAUGACAUUCUAAACUGUGGGUGUGAGCUCAGGAGACCUUCAAACACGACAUGGCAAAGGUUUCUGUGGCCUCGGGAAGCGGAGAGAGGACAGCGAGCACGAGGCCCUGGCGUCGGGGCGGUGGCACAAAGGAACAGUGGAUCAUUCGGCGGCACCACGGUCCCCGCCCCCCCGGCCCGCGCAGCUCUGCAGAGGCCAGCAGAGCCAGAGCCGGUCCCUCUCGUCCCGCCUUCCCCUCCAAACCGUUUCCAGGAAAGGCACUGUUGCCAUGGGAACUCACGUCCAAUUAUUCUACUUGCAGAAAAAUCACUUAUCAGCCAACUUGGCUGGAACACAUCGCUUCUGCGGAGCAGACACUGCUUCUCGGUUUUGUCCUCGCCCAUGACCAGAUCUUGGAGUGAAGAAGUGGAAAAGCAGGCCCGGGACUCAGUUCUCAGCUCCCAGGGACAAAGUCUGAGAAAAGCUUAACCAGGAGGGGCAGGUCUGCUGGAAGGAACAAGGCCAAUGAGACCAUGUGACAGCCUCCAGGAAGACCACCCUUCCCGCCGCCCCUCCUCGGCUAACUGAGGCGCAGCAGGGUUAAGUAAGUAACCAAAGUUACCAAGAGAAGCGUCGGAAGGACAAACCCCUGCCCGUAGGAUCCCCAGCUCCCGCCAGCUCCCCGCUGAACACACAUCCUCCAGGAGCCUCAGGGAGAUGGUGUCGCAGACUGAAUUGGAAUUCUAGUUCGCUCUCUCCAGCUCAGCGCAAACCCCUUGGUGCCCUGCACACACACAGCACACCCACGUGCAUGUGCCUGUGCUCAUCCCAGCAUUUUAGGUUUUACCGCUGGGAGCCUUGGUCCUCCCUCAACCGUCCUCGUGGGCACUUGCUGCAGGAAGCCGCCUGCAUGGCACUUGGACCCUCCUUACCACUCUGGGCAUGCUGAGGGGCAUCAAUCCUGGGGUAGGUGUUCCACUUGCCUGACAAAGCAGGGACCACCCAGGAAGCAACUGGUUCAGGCUGGCUUCUGCGAUGUGGGGAUUCCUAAAACCCCCGAAUAUGUGAGAUCGUCUCUACCGGCAUCUCCCUCCUCCCAGAACAAGGACCUCCCUGCUGACCUCUUGGGGCCUUUCACUGUCGGCCUCUGCUGGGGUUGGCCCCCUGGUUUCCCAGCUGCGGAACUUCCAGGGCCUCGGGCGCUCCGCACGAACCUCCAGCCCGAUUUCCCAGACCGUGCCGUGGCCUUCUUGAGAGGCGUCCUGGCAGGGAGGGAAAUCCUGAACUUUGGGGCUUUACAGACCUGCGUUUGGAAACCGCCACUCACCGCUAAGUGACCUUGGACAAGUCAACCUCCUAGGACAGGUUUCAGGUCUGUUCAGUGGAGGGGAUGACACCUCUGUCCCCUCCCCCCAUCCUGCCCCAGGGGCUGCAGGGAAGGGGAGCUGAGAGAUGCCGUGGAGGGAGCCCAAUACACAGCUCCCCCAGCCCCUCCACCAGCGCCCCCGCCCUGCCUCGCUCUGUAGCUCUGCUGAGCAUGCCUUCUGUACCAAAAACUGGAGCAGGUGGUUUGACAGAGGAUUUUUGUGCUCUUGCUUAGAUAUGCAAGGGAGUCUGAAUGUCAAAGGGGUCAAAACCAAGAGGUUUGAAUGUCAAAAUAGUGGGAAAUUCAAAUUCUGCAGGUGGAGCAGAUGUUGAAAGCAGGACUGUCCUGGGAAUCCAGACUGACUCCGCUGGACAGACACAUGGGUCAGUGCCCCCAGCCCCAAGUGCCAGCCCUCCUGUCUCACCUGGACCGUGACCCUGACACAUGACCCUUGACACAGCAACAUCCAUCGGUGGCUCAGCGUUGAGCCAGUGCCCACAGCAGCCCCACCCUCACCCCAGAAGCAACACGAUGCAAUUAAUAAGGGCAGACACUAGGGAACAGCCAGGCAGAGGGUGCCUGCCGCCCAACAGGUGCCGGGGUCCGGCUAUGUUAACGGCCUAUGUUUAAAAAAGGAAGAAAUUUUCUUGAUGGAAAACCAUGGCUCGUUUUUGUUUGUUUGUUUUUUAGGGCAACCCUGUUAGUUUCGUGGAAGCAUCCCAGCCUCCUCACGAUUUCAUCAAAAAGCUUUAGGCUAUUUCGGUCCACUGGUCCACCUCGAAGUACAUGGCAUUAUUUCGUGGAUAUCUAUUCCAUUCCAAAGAGAAUGAAUCUCUUCCUUUCUAAAACAAUAAAAAGGUGGAUAAUUAGCA
rnacentral:lncRNA from 1 species